rnacentral:rRNA from 1 species
AGCAGCCGCGGUAAUUCCAGCUCCAAUAGCGUAUAUUAAAGUUGUUGCAGUUAAAAAGCUCGUAGUUGAAUUUCGGGAUCAAUUUAUUGGUCGUGCUAUUGUACGUACUGGUAUUAUUGAUUCCUACCUUCUGACGAACCAUGAUGUCAUUAAUUUGGUGUCAUGGGGAAUCAGGACUGUUACUUUGAAAAAAUUAGAGUGUUUAAAGCAGGUUCACGCUUGAAUACAUUAGCAUGGAAUAACGAAAUAGGACGUUUGAUUCUAUUUUGUUGGUUUCUAGGAUCGACGUAAUGAUUAAUAGGGAUAGUUGGGGGCAUUAGUAUUCAAUUGUCAGAGGUGAAAUUCUUGGAUUUAUUGAAGACUAACUACUGCGAAAGCAUUUGCCAAGGAUGUUUUCAUUAAUCAAGAACGAAAGUUAGGGGAUCGAAGACGAUCAGAUACCGUCGUAGUCUUAACCAUAAACUAUGCCGACUAGGGGUCGGAUGAUGUUAAUUUUUAAUGUACUCAUUCGGCGCCUUAA